CGCUGGCGGUAUGCUUAACACAUGCAAGUCGAACGGAAACGAAACUAGCUUGCUAGUUGGCGUCGAGUGGCGGACGGGUGAGUAACGCGUAGGAAUCUACCUAGUAGUGGGGGAUAGCCCGAAGAAAUUCGGAUUAAUACCGCAUAAUCUAUUCGUAGUAAAGUGGGGGACUUUCGAGCCUCACGCUAUUAGAUGAGCCUGCGUAAGAUUAGCUUGUUGGUAGGGUAAAAGCCUACCAAGGCUACGAUCUUUAGCUGGUCUGAGAGGAUGAUCAGCCACAUCGGGACUGAGACACGGCCCGAACUCCUACGGGAGGCAGCAGUGGGGAAUAUUGGACAAUGGGGGCAACCCUGAUCCAGCAAUACCGCGUGUGUGAAGAAGGCCUGAGGGUUGUAAAGCACUUUCAAUUGGAAGAAAAGUUAACGGUUAAUAACCGUUAGCCUUGACGUUAACUUUAGAAGAAGCACCGGC
rnacentral:rRNA from 1 species